rnacentral:rRNA from 1 species
GCAAGUCGAGGGGUAACGAUGGUGCUUGCACCAGGCGACGACCGGCGCACGGGUGAGUAACGCGUAUGCAACCUACCCAUAACUUGAGAAUAGCCCGAAGAAAUUUGGAUUAAUACUCAAUAAUAUUUUUUAGAGGCAUCUCUAAAAUCUUAAAGUUCCGACGGUUAUGGAUGGGCAUGCGUGCCAUUAGUUUGUUGGUGAGGUAACGGCUCACCAAGUUGACUAUGAUGGCUAGGGGGUCUUAAAGGAUGGUC